GACCGAAGAAAGUUCUUGACGCCAGUCGCUGAUUACACCCAGUCAUUCCAAGACGCAACGGGUAAAAAGCAUCGUCACACUGCUUUUCGAGGAGGAAAUCACCCACCGGCGAAGAACUCGCCCGAUGCCACAGCACCAAGCGAUUAAGAGAAGAAGAGUGGAAGGUGAUCAGCCAACAGCCAGCUUCCUGCCGUCGUCAUCCUCCGGCACUCGAUCAUCGAUGACCACCGGUGCUCGCCUGUCGUCGUUCAUCGGUACACGCUCACCAAUGAUCACAUGGUACUGCUCGCCGAUCUCUAUUAGCGACAGUUCACUGACAUCUACCGGCGGUUAUCCGCUGUCGCCAAUAAGCGUUAACUCUCCUGUAACCGCAGGAGUCUGGUUACCGUAUAGCGUCCGUUUACCAGCAGAAUUAGACGCUGGUUCCGGCACACGGGAGUGAUGAAAAUAUUUCGGAAUGCGCAGUAGUGCAAAUGUCAUAAAGUCUUAAUAGCGUAUAAUGUAUAUUGAAAUAAGAGUACCAUUAUACUCCUUACAAGGAAAAAAUAGAUAAUGUUGAAUGAAAUAAUAUAUAAUUUGGUUUUUAAAAUUUAUUUUGUUUAUCUUUGAAGAGAUUACAGGAUUUUAAUAUAUCAUUAACAUGAAUAUUAACAAAAACAAAAGAAAAUUUAUUUAGACUUUAAAAAGUGCCCUAAAUCACAUCUUAGCACGAGUCUGCCGAGAUCGGUGACAUGGGGUAGUGACGUCAUUCACGUAUGCGCAGAGGUUCUGCUCUUGGGAUAAUUCUCAUGAGUUUUCAUCACUGGCGCAUGGUCGCACAAUACUCGGACUGCGAACAGAAUUCAGCGACCAGCCAUCUCCAGCGCCGAAACUCGACGGAGACGGAAAGGCCGGCCCGUAUUUUCAGAAAACGUAGAGCGGAUCCCGGCCUCACCUACAAUAACGUGGUAUUCACCACCGCUAAUCUCGCUCAUUUUUUCAUUCAAUUAAGAUCUCGCCCAUCAAGAGAUCAUAUCCGUCUCCGCUAGUUAAGAGAUCUGCCCCGAGGAAAACUUGUGGAACACAAACCAUCCUGGUCAGGAUCUCUAGUCCAAAGAGGACUACCAGGAUGCCGCGACCCAGACAAAAAAGCGUGGGAGAAAAACGGCGACAAUUGUUCAAUAACAACAAUGUACAAUUUGAAACAUUAAUUGUACAGAUAGUUUUAAGAAUAAAUCU